rnacentral:rRNA from 1 species
AUUGAACGCUGGCGGCAGGCCUAACACAUGCAAGUCGAACGAGUGGCGGACGGGUGAGUCAUGUCUCGGCCUCGGACCGAGGGAGGGGGUUAACUACUGGAAACGGUAGCUAAUACCGCACACCAUAGCAUGUGCCCAGUUGGGAUUAGCGAGUGGGUGGGGUAAAGGCUCACCUAGGCGACGAUCCCUAGCUGGUCUGAGAGGAUGAACAUCCACACUGGAACUGAGACACGGUCCAGACUCCUACGGGAGGCAGCAGUGGGGAAUAUUGGACAAUGGGCGCAAGCCUGAUGCAGCCAUGCCGCGUGUAUGAAGAAGGCCUUCGGGUUGUAAAGUACUUUCAGCGGGGAGGCGUUACUCGCAGAAGAAGCACCGGCUAACUCCGUGCCAGCAGCCGCGGUAAUAC